rnacentral:rRNA from 1 species
GCGAGUGAAGCGGCAAAAGCUCAAAUUUGAAAUCUGGCGCCUUCGGUGUCCGAGUUGUAAUUUGAAGAUUGUAACCUUGGGGUUGGCUCUUGUCUAUGUUUCUUGGAACAGGACGUCACAGAGGGUGAGAAUCCCGUGCGAUGAGAUGCCCAAUUCUAUGUAAGGUGCUUUCGAAGAGUCGAGUUGUUUGGGAAUGCAGCUCUAAGUGGGUGGUAAAUUCCAUCUAAAGCUAAAUAUUGGCGAGAGACCGAUAGCGAACAAGUACAGUGAUGGAAAGAUGAAAAGAACUUUGAAAAGAGAGUGAAAAAGUACGUGAAAUUGUUGAAAGGGAAGGGUUUGAGAUCAGACUCGAUAUUUUGUGAGCCUUGCCUUCGUGGCGGGGUGACCCGCAGCUUAUCGGGCCAGCAUCGGUUUGGGCGGUAGGAUAAUGGCGUAGGAAUGUGACUUUACUUCGGUGAAGUGUUAUAGCCUGCGUUGAUGCUGCCUGCCUAGACCGAGGACU